ACGUAGGUGGCAAGCGUUGUCCGGAUUUAUUGGGUUUAAAGGGUGCGUAGGCGGUCUAUUAAGUCAGCGGUGAAAUACUCCAGCUUAACUGGAGGGGUGCCAUUGAUACUGAUGGACUUGAGUCAAGUCGAGGUAGGCGGAAUUGACGGUGUAGCGGUGAAAUGCUUAGAUAUCGUCAAGAACACCGAUAGCGAAGGCAGCUUACUGGGCUGUAACUGACGCUGAGGCACGAAAGUGUGGGGAUCAAACAGGA
rnacentral:rRNA from 1 species